rnacentral:rRNA from 1 species
AAUAGAUACCCCGGUAGUCCACGCCGUAAACGGUGGGUACUAGGUGUGGGUUUCCUUCCUUGGGAUCCGUGCCGUAGCUAACGCAUUAAGUACCCCGCCUGGGGAGUACGGCCGCAAGGCUAAAACUCAAAGGAAUUGACGGGGGGCCCGCACAAGCGGCGGAGCAUGUGGAUUAAUUCGAUGCAACGCGAAGAACCUUACCUGGGUUUGACAUGCACAGGACGCCGGCAGAGAUGUCGGUUCCCUUGUGGCCUGUGUGCAGGUGGUGCAUGGCUGUCGUCAGCUCGUGUCGUGAGAUGUUGGGUUAAGUCCCGCAACGAGCGCAACCCUUGUCCUAUGUUGCCAGCGGGUUAUGCCGGGGACUCGUAGGAGACUGCCGGGGUCAACUCGGAGGAAGGUGGGGAUGACGUCAAGUCAUCAUGCCCCUUAUGUCCAGGGCUUCACACAUGCUACAAUGGCCGGUACAAAGGGCUGCGAUGCCGUGAGGUGGAGCGAAUCCUUGGUAAAGCCGGUCUCAGUUCGGAUCGGGGUCUGCACUCGACCC